rnacentral:rRNA from 1 species
CCCAACUAUCCCUAUUAAUCAUUACGGUGAUCCUAGAAACCAACAAAAUAGAACCAUGCCGUCCUAUUUUAUUAUUCCAUGCUAAUCUAUUCAAGCACUAGCCCGCUUUAAGCACUCUAAUUUUUUCAAGGUAAUAGAUCUGCUUCCCCAACGCACUAAAUUAAUAGCAUGCUGGUUAUUCAGAAGGUAAGAAUCCAUCAAAUCAGUACGGACAAUUAAGCCCGACCAACUGACAAAUCCCGAAAUUCAAC